UACGUAGGGUGCGAGCGUUAAUCGGAAUUACUGGGCGUAAAGCGUGCGCAGGCGGCGCGUUAAGACAGGUGUGAAAGCCCCGAGCUUAACUUGGGAAUUGCGCUUGUGACUGGCGUGCUGGAGUGUGGCAGAGGGAGGUGGAAUUCCACGUGUAGCAGUGAAAUGCGCAGAUAUCAGGAGGAACACCGGUGGCGAAGGCGGGUCUCUGGGCCGUAACUGACGCUGAGGAGCGAAAGCUGGGGGAGCAAACGGG
rnacentral:rRNA from 1 species